UUUUUAGCCAUUUCUCGGGAACGCGAGCGUCGUACAUCGCAUCAAGUGACUUUCGUAAACCUUGGCUCAUCACAAUGGUACCUUCGAUAGCUAACUUCAAAUCUGUUAAAGUGUUAUACACUUCUUUAAUGACUCUGGUGAUCCUGUAGAAAUUCGACUAAAAUAUAUUCAUCGGUAACAGUGCACCCAUUCGUUGAAGUGCUUCUUUCACUUCAAAAGAAUUAUAUUGCUUUGGUAAUUUGGCUAGCAUAUCGUUAGCAAGCUUAUAGACGACGUUUUCUCUAGUUUCACCGCCUUGUGCAUUCCCUUCUUUUGGUUGGACACUCAAAAUCGUGUCAAGUAUUCCUUUUGCUGUAUUUAUUUGGUAAGCUAUCGAUGUAAUCCAAGUAUCCCUGAAGAUUCUUGGUUUGUGGUACUCUGUAUCCACGAUAAAAUUCGAAGCCAGGUCGCAAUAGUACAUCGCAAAACCAAACUUUUAUGAUUGUAGUUAUUUUGAAGUGUGGUCAUUUUGAAGAUUUACUUGUUUGAGAUCAACCACGUGCAACUCGAUGAUAUACUGACACAUAUAGCAAAUAGUUGGCCACGAUACUCCCCGUUUUGGAUCCAUCUCAUCCAAAUGAUUCUGUAUAAACUGAACGGAAGCAGCAAAAUCAGCCUGAUUAAAUUCGUAUGGUACGUUCCAACCAAGAGGUCCGAAUUUUCUACGUUCUUGAACUACCGUAUGUAGAAACGCAACAGCAUACAGUAAAGGAGGCCACUGUGAUUGCGUACUGUAAUCCAAUGUGUCCUGCGUUACGCCUUGGACUGUAAGCAGGAUUUGGUAAUUUCGUGGUGAUGUACAACAUAAAACCGGGCAUUACAUCGCAUUCUUUGUCACCGACGAUUACUUUCUCGAUGGAACCGGAUUUAAUAAAAUUCUUUUCAAGCACGUUAUCGAGAACUGGAUCUAACUCUUCCGCGAUGUCUUCUAUCAGCAAUGGUCUGCCUAAAGAGAGGCUGUCUUCAAGGAAGCCGUUCGAUGGAAGGGGUUUUCGACCCUAUUUCAGCCUCGUGCUGCCGGUUGCGGACCAGCGGCCACCGCGUGUAUCGACUAACGUCGGCGUAUUGACUAAUGACUGGUACGCUGUUGCAAGUAGUACCACUCCGUGUCAGGACGGACACACUCGAGUCCCACGACCAUAUUAAUGGCGCGCGACCGCCGCGAACACAGGGGUUAAGGCGCAUUUAUGUAACACGUAGGCGAGGAGUUCCUUCGACGUCGCGCGACCUACAUUUCCUGACCAAUGUCUGGGAAAAAAGAGGUCAUGAACGCGAACGGUACGCUGGUAACAAUUUGCGGAAAAACCCUAUUCUUAAUUUUGCCAAUAUAAUCAUGCCUCGUUUUGGUGUUCGUAAAAUUUCAAAAAGUACGAUACAUAUAAUAUACAAGGUGGUUGGUAACUGGUGGUGAUUCUACGCGAAAAAAGAAGUCGAAAAUAUAGAAUAAAAAUUUUUCGUUCGAGGCUUUGUUUUCGAGAAACCACGCUCUCCUGACUUAGCUCCGCUUGACUUUUAUUUAUGGAGCCAUAUUAAAUCAAUCGUCUAUUCUGAAGAAAACGCAAGUUGCGAGCAAUUUAAAGAAUAGAUUAUCGUAGCCUUUCAUACUUUAAAACAAUCGAACACGUUAGAAAGUGUCGAUAGAAAUUUAAUUAGAAGAGCAAAACUAUGUGUUCGGUAGAAUGGGCAACAUUUUCAGCAAUUUUUCUAAUAAUA